AUAAUUGAAAUUCAAAUGACAUAAGCAAAAUACAUUGAUCAAACAUGGAAUGAAUCAACAUCAAUCAAUGGUAAACAGAAGUGAGAUGAAGCUUAGAAGUCAAGAAACAAUAAAAAUAUUUUUGAUAUUUUUGGAAUUAAAAUAAUACUUGAAUUAAAAUAAUACUUGAAUUAAAAUAAUACUUGAAUUAAAAUAAACAAAUAAAGGUCAAUACUUCAAAUCCAUUUCAAAUCAACUUGGAAAAG
rnacentral:lncRNA from 1 species